UCAGUCUAUACAUAGGGACAAGCAGUGACACUCUUCAAGAUGGACAAAAUGUAUCAACUAGUUUAUGAUGGGGAUGUUGAAGUCCCUAGAACAACCACGAAUAGUACCACUGGACAUUACUGCGCCAGGACUGAAUAUCUUAGCAGCAUGGAGUGAGGCAUCCUCUCCCACAAAGUUGCCUGAUGUUCAUCGAGUUGUCAAAUAUAACAUCGACUCUAGAACUUCCAUGUCUUGCCCUCAUGUGGUUGGUGUAGCGGCACUCAUCAAAGCCAUACACCUUGAUUGAAGCAGUGCUAUGAUAAGAUCUGCCCUCAUAACAACUGGCCAAAGGAUGCAAUAUUCUAUCUUAGAGUGAUGUUCUACUAACCACCUAUGGAGUUUCAUCUUCAGAAUUUUCAACAGAGAUGGCUUUUGGCGUGGACUUAUGGAUAGUCUAUAUUUUUGUUUAUGGAGGACACUUGACACUUUUGUAUAAUCCUGCUAAUUAUGUCGUCCUAUGCUUUUGUGUAGUUUAGUAUUACUGAUACAUAUAACUUUUUUAAUCCAAGUGAUAGUUGCUAGCGUGACACAUAGAUCACAUUUUGUCAUGGUACAGAUUACGAUGGUAAUUUGUACCACGCCAAGUGGCCAUAUCGUGUGGUAGUAAAUAUAUUUUUUAGAUAUAGAGGGUUGGAUUUUUGUAUGGAAAUAUAAUUUUAGUUUGGACAAUAGUUGGUUUGUAUGGAAUAUAUACAUUUAAAGUAAUUCAU